rnacentral:rRNA from 1 species
UACGGGGGGAGCAAGCGUUGUUCGGAUUUACUGGGCGUAAAGGGCGGGUAGGCGGCCACCGCAAGUCGACUGUGAAAUCUCCGGGCUUAACCCGGAAAGGUCAGCCGAUACUGCGGGGCUAGAGUGCAGAAGGGGCAACUGGAAUUCUCGGUGUAGCGGUGAAAUGCGUAGAUAUCGAGAGGAACACCUGCGGCGAAGGCGGGUUGCUGGGCUGACACUGACGCUGAACUGCGAAAGCUAGGGGAGCAAACAGG